UAAACUUCAGGGCCCCUUGCUUGCAUGAGCCUUUCCAAGGCCCUGGGAUGGUCCCCAGAAGUGUGUUCACAUUGUCAUAGGUUUAUAUAAAGUUUGUAAAAGUAGAAUAAAUUUGUAUUCUUUUUCUCACAAAGGACUCCAAAAUUGUAUACACUUCAGGCCCCACAAAAUGUUCAUCUGCCUCUGCAUGUGGGACUGUCACAAGUAUCAAAACAGAAGGAUGGUGGUAAAUAUUAACUCGAAGAUGAAAAUACUAAGUACAAAGUCCAGACUAUUUGAAGAUCUUUUUGUUCCUGUCUCUUCAAAAGGAGUCACUCCAAGUCCAAAUGACUUCAAUGCUGGCAAAAAUGAAGCCCACUUUUCAACUUACCCAGGAUGUGUGCAACAAAUUUCCCAAUGGUGUAGAAACAAUAUUAUAUUUCCCAAAUAUAUUUGGCUAUGGGAUCCUAGGCUCAUGCAACACCAAACUUGUGUUUCAAGGAGCAAAUUUUGGGAAAUAACUUAUUAGAGAAGUUCUUUUUUGCCAGCAAUGUGCAAAUGAAUAUUUAUUAAAAUUCUAAAAGAAGUAAAAUUAAUGGGGGCCUGUAUAGAAUCCAGUUUUUAUUUCCUAAAUAAUAUUACUGUUUUUUAGAUGAUCAAGUGAUUUUUGUCCUCAUGGAAGAGUAGAAUACUUAAGGAAAAAGGAUUCAUCUAUAUGGGUAACUGUAUUCAGAGUCUGGAUUUUAAUUAAAACAAUUUUGUCCUUUGUUUUUAGUAGGUUUUGCCCUUUGGUUUUAGUAGAAAUUCAAACAAGUCAAAGUAAAUACAUGGAAACCAAGUUGAAAAAGACCAAAAAGAAAUAUAAAGGAAAAGUAUUACCAAAAUGGCCUAGAAUAAUGGUGGGUUAUUUUCUUUUUUUGGCCUUUUGAAAAAUACAAUCGCAUUCUAACAUAACAGGAAAAAUUUGGUUGUGAAUAAAACACUUGUGAAAGUUUAUUUCUUGAGAUUUUAUAAAGUAAAAAAAAAGGGGACAUUUGCAACCAAAGGGGGGGGGAACGUGUAGUGUAUGUUGAAAAUGGUUGUAAGCAAUCUUUUUUCUCAAUAUCACAGCUAUUAUACUGUGAUGUGUGCCAGCCUGAAAACACUGUUAAAAGGGGGCGGGGGGGGAAGCCAUAGUCUAGCAAAAGCCAUGGUUGAUGAAUCCAUAAAUUUUUAAAAUAAAAUUCACCACCACCAGACCCCCAGAAGGCCACCUUGGUCAUCCAGGUAGAAUAAGGAAUCAUUGAAACACAUAUCAGAGUCCUACACAAAAUGCCUCCAGGGGUUACAGGUCCCUUACCAAAUAUUCCAGUGGUUUUUCUCUGUGUGUUAUAUCUAAAUACUUAGAGCACUGAGUUAUUUUUGGUAAUAGGAAGCCCCAACUGAAGAUUGACAGUGGUAGAGAAUAAUUUUGAUUAGGAGAGAUCUUUCAACAACUAGAAAUAUGGGCAGUUACCCAGGAUCUAGGAAAGUAAAAUGGCACACUAUUUUAUACAUAUCAUUUAUCCAGCCAUAUCAUUACUUCACUAGUCUGUCACUCAAACAUUUAUUAAGCACUUUAAUAUGUCAAGUAAUGGACCGAGUCCUAUGCCAGAAAUACAGCAAUGUUCAAAUAAUUCAGGGGAACAUCUUAAUGCUGUAUAAAAGGUUGGAAAGAAUUAUUUCCUUUAACUGAAACAAUUAUAUUAUGAAACUUUGGCAAGACCAGAGUUAUUUUGCUGGCUAUUAACCUAAUCUAAAAACUGUUCAUAAUUUUUAAUUAAUGUUUUGUUUGCCAUAAUAAAUAGCAAUUAUUCUAUUAAUUUUUGUUUGUUGGAAAUGAGUACCAAUGAAUGCUAGAUGGGUUUUGAACAAAAUGGUAAGGUGGGAAGGCAAGGACAGGCGAUCAAUUGAUUAGUGUUACUAAUAAUGCAGAAGAUAAAACCUUAAGGGCAGAAAUCAUUUUGCUUGAUAUUAAUACACUAAAAGAAAUUGGUGCCUACAAGUAUAAAGUGUCAAGACUCAUCAUUUGACCCAAGGGAAGAAAUACUGAUAAAUAGACACUC
rnacentral:lncRNA from 1 species